ACUCAAAUGUGGGGCACACUUCUGGACUGUACAUAGAAAGUGCUACUACUUUUGAGUCU
rnacentral:pre_miRNA from 1 species